rnacentral:lncRNA from 1 species
UCGGGGGACGGUCUCCGGCCAACUCCUCAGUCCACCGCUACCCCCAGAGUAUGUAAGGAGACUAACUCGGUCAACUAGUUAGACCACCUCAAUCUCUCUCUUCGACACCAACUCGACGCCGAUGUCGAGCACUGACGCCGCCUCGCCAUCCGUGGCUACCCGGCGAUUGGCCACCACCGACCGGACCGCCUUGAGGUCCCCUAUGCGCCUCUAGCCUUCGUUUCUCCGAUCGCUGACCGUAGGAGGAGGAACGACGACAAGAAGGUUCAAGUUUUCUGCCGGAUUUCUGGGUUUUCAGGCUGCGAACCCGACUUCUCUUGGUAUGGUUUCCUUUCUCUCGUCGUCCUCAUCAUUCUAGGGUAAUUAUUUUUCAGUUUAGAUUGAAGUUUAUUGACUUUAGUUUUUAGGAUUUCUGGGCUGUUUCUCUGCCCUUGACGGAGUUCGUCCCCGCCGGUAACCUCCUCUAUUUCUGGGUUUGGUUUUGGUCUCUGCUGCGUUAGUGAACAAGGACUUUGAAGGGUUGCUGAGUUUUGGGUCAUUGAUUCUUCAACAAGAAGUUUUGGGCAGUGAAGGAGCAAGUUUUGUUUUGACGCAUCGAACGUAAAUUCGAAAAGUAAAUUAGAGUUUGUUGUUGGUUGCUGAUUGGUGUAAAUUUGAUAAUAUUGAAGAUGUUUGAGUUGUGCAUUUCGUUGUGGUUAGUUCUAUGAAAGUCUGGUGCCUAGUUGUGUAUUACUGUGUUUAUGUUGAUUAUGGACCAGUUGGAAGUUAAGUUUCUGUUUAGUUGUUAUAAUUAGAAUGAAAUGGGAUGUUGGCGUUUGAUAAAUAGAAAGAUGUUGAAAGUAUUUGGGUUGUGUUGUGUGUGGCUAAUUCUGCAAAUAUUGACACUUUGUGUACUGCUGUGUUCAUGUUGAAGUAUAUAGGGAGGUUAUAGUGAAUGGGAUGAAGGGCUGGUCAUGGUAUUGAAAUCUAAUGGAAAUUACCAAUUUGGUAGUGAAUUGAGAAUUUGGUUUAAUUGUUAUUAAGGGUCUCUUAUGUAUAAUUGUCUUGGCUGGAAAGAAAGGUUGAUAUUGGUUUUAAAAGAGUCUAGUUAUGGUGAUUGAGAUAUAAGGCUGAGAAGGUGGUGUUUGGUCU